CUGGGGAAGGCAAGGAGGAAGGCCAAGCUGACCCUAUGAGGACAGGAUGCUGUCAUAGCCCCCAGGCUUCAGAGAAAGCAGGUCUGACCAACAGAGAUGGUUAAGCAGAAGGCUGGCUCUUAGAAAGCUCUGUUAGAGGCCUGAAAUUGGGGAAGGAAGCUGAGUCACGUGAUGAGUUUAUUUAAGCCCCUUCUAAGCCCCAGGCCUCCCUGGAAACACCCCCACUGAGAAGGGGCCCCUGCUCCUGCUUUCUCCUCUGAGUCUCUGUUUGUUAUCUCUGUUCACAUUUCCCUGAGCUUCCUUUCUUUGCCCUGGGGAUUCAAGGGACAGAAGGUUCCUCAGAGGAUGUCCCCCUCAUUUUACAAAUGAGGAAACUGAGGCCAAUAAAGGUUAAGUGAUUUGUCAGGAUCAGAAAACCAGUAAGGGUCCAAGGCAACAACUGAACCAAGUCUUCCUGAUCCCAGGUCCAGGGAACUAUACUCUCUUGGUAUAGGUGGGAAAAACACUGAAUUUGAGGCCAAAAGACCUUAGGUUCAGGUCCUGGUCUUCUCAUUUAUAAUCCCAGUGACCUUGGGAAACCAGUAAGGAUUGAAGUUACUAAGUGAUGAAAAAAAUGUCUGGAAAUGGAGGUGGGGGCGCAAACCAGCAUCUACCUCCUUUUCCCCUCCAAUAUUCCAAUUUUGAGCAGCAGAAAUGAGAACAACUGAGGCCAGUUCAUUCAUCAGGCAAUACUUAAAGCACUUAUUAUAUGUUAGGUACAGACCAUAAAAUCAUAAGCUGAGGAAUCCUUGCCCUCCAGGAGCCAGCAUUCUCCUGGCAUGAAAAGAUACAGAAUGUUCCCCCCAUGUAAGGAGGAAUGAUGGCACUUAGAAGUGGAGGGAGACUAAAAAAGCUGUCAGUAAGGACGAUGCAGGAGAAACUAAAUGUGAGCCCAAGAGAGAACACCAAAGCCCAGAAGCUGAUCUUCCCACCAUAUUCUCCCAUUAGACUGUGAGCUCCAUGAGGGAUCCGGCCCCAGCUAUCCAAGGAGAAGAUUGAAGGCUGUCACAUCUGCACCUCAGUCACUCCUGGGGAGCCCCAGGUGCUAUUGGGGAAGGACAAGGCCUUCACCUAUGACUUUGUCUUUGACCUGGACACUUGGCAAGAGCAGAUCUACACAGCUUGUGUGGGCAAGCUUAUUGAAGGCUGCUUUGAGGGCUACAAUGCCACAGUUUUGGCCUAUGGACAGACAGGAGCUGGGAAGACAUACACCAUGGGCACUGGCUUCGACAUAAACACAUCAGAAGAGGAGCAUGGUAUCAUCCCAAGGGCCAUAGCCCACCUCUUCAGGGGCAUUGCCCAACGCAAGAGACAGGCCCAGGAGCAGGGAGUACCUGGGCCUGAGUUCAAAGUCAGUGCACAGUUUCUGGAGCUUUACAAUGAGGAGAUCCUGGACCUGUUCGACAGCACCCGAGAUCUUGACUCCCGCCAUCGAAAAUCCAACAUUAAGAUCCAUGAGGAUGCCAAUGGGGGUAUCUACACCACAGGCGUCACCUCCCGUCUCAUCAAUUCCCAAGAAGAGCUGAUCCAGUGUUUGAAGCAAGGAGCUCUGUCCCGGACAACAGCCAGCACACAAAUGAAUGUGCAGAGCUCCCGUUCUCAUGCCAUCUUCACCAUCCACCUGUGCCAGAUGCGAGUCUGUGCCCAGCCUGAACUGGUGAAUGAUGAGGUGCCCGGCCUUACUGAUGGUACAGCCCCUACCAAUGAGUAUGAGACACUCACGGCCAAGUUUCAUUUCGUCGAUCUGGCAGGUUCUGAGCGGCUGAAACGGACAGGGGCCACAGGCGAGAGGGCCAAGGAGGGCAUCUCGAUCAACUGUGGCCUGCUGGCGUUGGGCAACGUGAUCAGUGCCCUUGGAGACCAGAGCAAAAAGGCAGUACACGUGCCCUACCGGGACUCCAAACUCACUCGACUCCUUCAGGACUCACUCGGGGGUAACAGCCAGACAAUCAUGAUUGCCUGUGUGAGUCCAUCAGACAGGGACUUUAUGGAGACCCUGAACACGCUCAAGUAUGCCAACAGGGCCCGGAACAUCAAGAACAAGGUGAUCGUGAACCAGGAUAAGACCAGCCAGCAGAUCAGUGCCCUUCGGGCAGAGAUUGCCCGCCUGCAAAUGGAGUUGAUGGAAUACAAAGCGGGUAAGCGAGUGAUCGGCGAGGAUGGCUCAGAGGGCUACAGUGACCUGUACCGGGAGAAUGCCAUGCUGCAGAAAGAGAAUGGCACACUGCGAAUGCGGGUGAAAGCCAUGCAGGAGGCCAUUGAUGCCAUCAACAAUCGAGUCACCCAUCUCAUGAGCCAGGAGGCCAGCCUGCUCCUGGCUAAAGCUGGAGAUGGCAAUGAGGCCAUUGGUACUCUGAUCCAGAACUAUAUCCGAGAGAUUGAGGAGCUUCGAACAAAGCUUCUGGAGAGUGAAGCAAUGAAUGAAUCUCUGCGCCGUACUCUCUCACGGUCCGCCAUGAGGCCCCCCUACUCCACAAGCAAUCCCACUCCCCAAACCCAAGGAGGCUAUAUGAGUAGCCCAUCAACUUCCAUGGAAACAGAAGCCUUUGAGGUGAUCCGCAAAGCCAAACAAGACCUGGAACGACUAAAGAAAAAGGAGACCAGACAAAGAAGAAAAAGCCCAGAGAAAGAGGCAUUUAAAAAGAGAGCAAAGUUACAUCAAGAGAAUGGAGAAGAGACAGAUGAGAAUGAAGCUGAGGAGGAGGAAGAGGAAGAUCGCGAUGAAAGCGGUUGUGAAGAAGAAGAAGGACGAGAAGAUGAAGAUGAAGAUUCAGGCAGCGAGGAGAGCGUGGUAGACUCAGACUCAGAUCCUGAAGAGAAGGAGGUGAACUUCCAAGCUGACCUGGCUGACUUGACCUGUGAGAUUGAGAUCAAGCAGAAGCUGAUCGAUGAGCUGGAGAAUAGCCAGCGACGACUGCAGACUCUGAAGCACCAGUAUGAGGAGAAACUGAUCCUGUUACAGAACAAGAUCCGGGAUACCCAGCUUGAGCGGGACCGAGUACUACAGAACCUCAGCACCAUGGAGUGCUACACCGAGGAGAAAGCCAACAAGAUCAGGGCUGAUUACGAGAAGCGCCUGCGGGAGAUGAAUCGGGACCUUCAGAAGUUGCAGGCAGCCCAGAAGGAGCACGCCCGGCUGCUCAAGAACCAGUCCCGUUACGAGCGGGAGCUGAAGAAGCUUCAGGCUGAGGUGGCAGAGAUGAAGAAGGCCAAGGUGGCUUUGAUGAAGCAAAUGAGGGAGGAGCAGCAACGGAGGCGGCUGAUCGAAACCAAGAGGAACCGAGAGAUAGCACAGCUCAAGAAGGAGCAACGGCGGCAGGAGUUUCAGAUCCGGGCUUUGGAAUCUCAGAAGCGCCAGCAGGAGAUAGUGUUGAGGAGGAAAACCCAGGAGGUGUCGGCACUGCGGCGCCUGACCAAGCCCAUGUCAGAACGAGCAGCAGGACGGGUCGGGAUGAAGCCUCCCAUGAUGGACUCUGGAGCAGAGAUAUCAGCCAGCACCACAUCAUCUGAGGCAGAGUCUGGGGCCCGGUCCGUCUCAAGUAUUGUGCGCCAAUGGAAUCGAAAGAUCAACCAUUUUCUGGGGGAUCCAGCAACUCCAGUCAACGGCACUCGUCCUGCCAGGAAGAAGUUUCAGAAGAAGGGGGUCAGCCAGACCUUCAGCAAAGCUGCCCGGUUAAAGUGGCAAUCCCUAGAAAGACGUAUCAUCGACAUCGUCAUGCAAAGGAUGACCAUUAUCAACCUAGAGGCUGAUAUGGAGAGGCUCAUCAAGAAAAGGGAGGAGCUAUUUCUCCUUCAGGAAACACUGAGAAGAAAGAAGGAAAAGCUUCAGGAAGAGAGCCCAGAGGAGGAAAAGGGACUACAGGAAUUGAGUGAAGAAAUUGAGGUGCUAGCAGCCAACAUUGACUACAUCAAUGACAGUAUUUCUGAUUGUCAGGCCACCAUUGUACAGCUGGAGGAGACCAAGGAAGAACUAGAUUCCACAGACACCUCAGUGGUCAUCAGCUCCUGCUCACUGGCUGAAGCCCGACUGCUGUUGGACAACUUUCUCAAGGCCUCCAUUGAAAAGGGUCUACAGGUAGCCCAGAAAGAGGCCCAGAUUCGACUGCUGGAGGGACGACUGAGGCAAACAGAUAUGAACAACUCCUCUCAGAACCACCUGAUCCUGGAUGCCCUUCGAGAGAAGGCUGAGACCCACCCCGAACUGCAGGCCCUGAUUCACAAUGUACAGCAAGAGAAUGGAUAUGCCAGCACAGAUGAGGAGAUCUCAGAGUUCUCAGAGGGGAGCUUCUCCCAGUCCUUCACUAUGAAGGGUUCCACCAGCCAUGAUGAUUUCAAGUUCAAGGGGGAGCCCAAGCUGUCUGCUCAGAUGAAGGCAGUGUCCGCCGAGUGCCUGGGUCCCCCACUGGACAUCUCCACCAAGAACAUCACUAAAUCCCUGGCCUCACUUGUGGAGAUCAAAGAGGACGGGGUGGGCUUCUCCAUCCGAGACCCCUACUACCGAGACAAGGUCUCACGUACCAUCAGCCUGCCCACCCGUGGCAGCACCUUCCCACGGCAAUCCCGAGGCUCUGACACCUCGCCUGUGACACGGAGGAAAUCCUAUGACCGAGGGCAGCCUAUCAGGUCCUCGGACAUGGCCUUCACACCCCCUUCGUCCCCCCCUACACGGCCCCGCAAUGACCGCAACGUCUUCUCUCGCCUCACCAGCAAUCAGAGCCAGGGGUCAGCACUGGACAAGUCUGAUGACAGCGACUCCUCUAUCUCGGAGGUCCUGAGGGGAAUCAUCAGCCCCAUCGGUGGAGCAAAGAGUGCCCGGACUGCUCCUUUGCAAUGUGUCUCAGUGGCUGAGGGUCACACCAAACCCAUUCUUUGCUUGGAUGCCACUGAUGAGCUGCUCUUCACAGGAUCAAAAGACAGAAGCUGCAAAAUGUGGAACCUGGUUACGGGGCAGGAGAUUGCCUCUCUGAAGGGUCAUCCCAAUAAUGUUGUUUCUAUCAAGUACUGUGGCCAUUUGGGUCUGGUGUUCUCCGUCUCUACUUCUUAUAUCAAGGUGUGGGACAUCCGGGAUUCCGCCAAGUGCAUCCGCACCCUCACGUCCUCAGGCCAAGUGAUCUCCGGAGACGCCUGCGCAAGCACCACCAAUCGAACCAUCACCAGUGCUCAAGGGGAACACCAGAUCAACCAGAUUGCCCUCAACCCCACCGGCACCAUUCUCUAUGCUGCCUCUGGCAACUCAGUCCGUGUCUGGGAACUCAACAGGUUCCAGCCCAUUGGGAAGCUGACUGGCCACAUUGGUCCCGUGAUGUGCUUGACGGUCAACCAGACCUCCAAUCACCAUGAUCUUGUGGUGACUGGCUCCAAAGAUCACUAUGUGAAGAUGUUUGAACUGGCAGAGAGUAUAAUGGGCAACAUCAGCCCCACCCACAACUUUGAGCCCCCACACUAUGACGGCAUCGAGUGCCUAGCCAUCCAGGGCGAUGUACUCUUCAGUGGUUCCCGGGACAAUGGAAUUAAGAAGUGGGAUCUGGAGCAGCAGGAGCUCAUUCAGCAAAUUCCAAAUGCCCACAAGGACUGGGUAUGUGCCCUGGCCUUUGUCCCUGGCCGACCCAUGCUGCUGAGUGCUUGCCGAGGGGGCUUCAUCAAGGUCUGGAAUGUGGAAAACUUCACACCCAUUGGAGAGAUCAAAGGUCACGACAGCCCCAUCAAUGCCAUCUGUACCAAUUCCAAGCACAUUUUUACGGCCUCCAGUGACUGCCGGGUAAAGUUGUGGAGUUACGUCCCUGGACUCACCCCCUGCCUUCCACGCCGCGUCCUGGCUAUAAAGGGCCGUGCUACUAGCCUGCCUUGACCCCUCCUCUCCUCCCUCUUCCCUCAUCUUUCCUCUCAGUCCUCCUUUCUCUCCUCUUAUUCUCCCCUUCUUCCCUCUUCCCGUCUUUCUCCACUUCGAUCCGAGCUGCUUCUUAACGUGACCUGACAGUGAAAUUCUGGAGCGGAAGGCGGCUACCCAGCAGCACAUCUUAGGCACAGAGGUCAGAGGGGGCACUCGGAUUCCAUAUUUCUUCUAACUGCCUGGACAUCAUCUAAAGCAAAGCAUCUUGAGACAAUUUAGGCCCCAUGGGUCCAGGCCAGACAAUGCUGAUGGUUCUGGGCAAGAGGGUUUGGGGAUUCUGUUCCCCUCACCUCUCCUAGCCUUCCUAAAGGGAAAGUAUUCCCGAACUCAUCUCUUAGUGGGGUGGGAGCCCCUUGUAGGAAAGGAGAGGGGAAGGAUAUUAAGCUGUGAAGCCAAAGGGCAUUUUUGAUCCCCACUCUUUCCUCUGAAGCUCCUCAGCUUCUUCCAGGUUUGGUCCCAUUUUCUUCCUCCUGAACUGUCCUCUCCUCUCCCCAACCUCAGGAGCUCUCCAGCUGGCCUGUGAGGAGACCUUGGGGAAAUUUUUGUUAGCCCCCUCCCACUCCCCCAGAAAGCCCUAUGGUGGGAGGGAAUUCUGAGCCAGGCUGAGGGGAUCCCCCAGCCCCCACCAGCCAUAUUUUAUCUUUGAAAUAUUUUUGCCCUUUUUCUUCUUCCAUCUGAACUCUGCCUUCAGAUGGGCAUCUUUCCUCCAAUCCUCUCCUGCCCCUCUGGUGCCCAAUUCCUGCCUCUCUGAGUCCUCAGCCUUUUCCCCCAAAAGGAAGGAGGUCAAAAGAAAAAGAGUGCCUCCUUCUAGGAACCAUGGAAAUUUGGGGAUGGUAGCUAUCAGGCCCUACCCUGGGUCCACCACCAUCCCAUUCCAUCCCAUCCAAUCCCAUCCCAUCCCAUCCCACCCCACUAAUCUCCUGGGCUCAGCCCACCCUGUCCCAGGGAUUGGAGCAGGCCUAUCCAUCAGAAAGUUCCAUCUGAAGAGAGAGUCACAGAUUCAGCCUGGUCAUUUUAUUUAUUUAUUUAUUUGUUUAUUUAUUUAUUCUUUUUUUUUGCUGGUGCCUCCUGGAAACCAACUUGACAUUUCAUCUAAUGUAGUCUAUCCCUUGAGCCUCUCUGAGGUCAGGGAAUCCUGAGGGAGGAUGGGGACAGGGAGAAAGCCUGGGGAGGGGGUAAGAAGGGUCCUCAGAUGGGAAUGGGUGCCAGUUAGUACCCUUGAACCUCUGCUUCUGAGCCAUCCAACUCACCCUAGCCUUCAACACAUUUUGGGAUCAAUUGGGGAACAAUUUCCCUUUUGACUUUUCCCCUCUCUCCCUGCUCUCACUUCUAUCUACACCAUCUUCCUAAUCUACACACCCCCACACACACUUCCUUCCAAUCCAUUCUGGGCUUUUCCUGACUUUCCUGUCUGAGGGUGAGCAUCCUAGCCCAUAAUUCCCUUCAUACCAUCAGAUGCUCCAGUGCCUUCCAUCCCCCUGGGGCUUGGCACCCACACCUGGGUGACCUCAUGCCAGUGGUGCCAGCCACGUUUCUUGCUGCCUCUCCUUGCAACCUUCCAUCCUGGUAACUGCUGCCUGCCCGCCCCCCCCCCUUCCCCCUCUGGAUCUAACCUAAAGGAGAUCCUGCUCUAUACCCCAACCCCUACCCACCCCCCCUUGCCACCCCAUGCUAUGUUACAAACCCUAUCUAGGGGGGAUUCCUGCCCCACUCCCACAUCACUUAAGAAGCAGCUUUUGGAUCUCCUUUGUUUCAUGGUACUGUGUAUAGUAGGAUGUCUUGAGUAGUAAGGACUAAACUUUAGGGUCUGUUCCUUUGCCCCUCCCAUUCCCCCCAUCAGCUGGAAUAGUCAUUCCAGGGACAUGAUGGGGAAUGGACUCCGAAGGUUCUCCAUGGUUUUAACUAUACCAUAGCCCAGUUUGUAUCUCCAGCUCCUUUCUCUCUGGUUAUUCAAGAGACACAUUUUCAAGCCUUAAAACUGGAAGGAAACAAGGGAGAAUCAUUACUCAUUCAAAAGACCCAGUACCCUUUGGGAAUUUUGGUUUUGGUUUUUGGUCAGGGGGGAGGGUGGGGGACGGGUGUUGAAUUGAAAAAGGCUCUGGGUUUUGUUUUGUUUUUUUCUUGCCCAGGGCCCACUCAGUAGUUGAAUUUUGUAUUAAAUUAAUAUCUGGGGUUCCCUUCCUGGUGGGACCAAUGAACUCAAAGACUACGCCAAGGACUCCCAGGGAAAUGCAGAGUGGCUUCCUUCCCCAUCUUAUUUUUCUGCUGCCACACCAGCCCUGUGCUUCUCUGGCUUCUUCCUGCUGGCAAUGGGCAUAGAGAGAUUUGAGAUCUGAGGCCAAGCACCCAAGCUGGAGUCUCACUCGUCCUCUUCGGAGAGAGCUUAUGACUUGGUGCUUCUGGAAACGGACACGAGCAUCUCUCCUCCCUCAUCUCACAGCACUUGGGCCACCAGGAGGAUAUGGACCCACUCCAGUUGGGCAGAAGCCAGGAGUAGGAAGACUUUUUUCAGCUUCUGAACAAAAAGUAGCAUGGAAGAGGAGAAAGCGGUUCUUCUUUAUCAUGGACAAGGCUUUUACGGUGCACAAGGAGUUUCUGUGUCUGAAAGGGAGAAAACUGCCAAGGGGAAAGCUAUCUUUCCCUAGCUUGUCCUCACCCUGUAAACAUCAGCAGACCAACUUAUCCCCCUACUGAGAAACGGCGAUGCCUUGGCAGAAUGAUUGUGCUCCCACUUCAUCCCUUUACUGGAUGUGGUUUGAAAUUUGGGGUGAUUUUGGUUGCAGGAAGGAAAAAAAUGAAGUUUUGGUCUUCGGGGAACAAUAGACAGUAUGACUGGUGGCUUGUUACUCUCUCUUCAGCCCCCAUGCUUGGGAUGGGCGGGGGGGGGGUGCGGUACAAGAGUGGAAGGUCCAAUUUCCAUGUCCCACAAACACCUCCCCUCCACUCCAAAGCAAGCAUGUGUUUGUUUACCUGUCCUUCCUCUUCACCACACCAUCUUCAACUUGGCUCUUGUGCCCUAGGAGAUGGGGGAAGAGUUUCCUCCAAUGGGAGCUGCUGUUUACAAACACACAAGACUGCAUUCCUCAUCCCCCCUUGACUUUGGGUCCCACCAGGUCAGGGGAGCCAGCCCCCAGUAGUGAGAACUGUACUGCGAGUUUUGAUUUGGUUCCCACUCAAGGUUUGAUCCCAAGGUCCCCUGUGUUGUGGUUGUUGUCUGAUCCUUUUGUUGUUGUUGAUAUUGGGUAAGCUACCUCAUGGCUGGGCCUGGGCUUUGCUGUAUGUGAGUGUGCUGGCUUUCCAGAAACUUGAAAUCCUGUUGAGCAACUUGAGGCCCUGACUAAUGUGGUCACUCCAUCCCACUGGGCAGCUGAGCUUGGAGAAAGUUGGGUCUCUCCGUGCUUUCUUGAAGGAGGGUUGAGAGGCACAGGCUUUGGGUCUGAGCUAGAGAGCAAGGAUUGCAACUUCACAAGUAUUUAUAAGUGUUUGAAGUGUUAUAAGCACAAAAUGAUUGUAUUCUGAGCACAAGGGCCCUAGAGCCUGAGCACAAGCCCUAGAAUGAGGAAGCUUUAACCCAGUUUUAGAACACAGGAUGACCAGGCCACUAGACCUACCUCUGAGUUCCCAUCCUUUUUCUGUCCUCAGUCCCUCUGGGCAGAGAAGAAGACAUGUAAUGGCCAACAUGUCCUGCUCUAGGCAAGAGAAUUUGCCAAACUUGCCCUGGCUCCCUUCCCUUAGGUCAACCCCAGGGGCUAUGCCAUAGGGAAGGCAGUCAUCCUAUCCUACUUGGUCCAUUCAGUCUGUCAGUGCCCACUCUGCCCUGGAAUUGGGGAGCCCUAUUCCUUUGGGAAUUCAUCAGAGGUAGUUAUAUAAAGGCCAGAAAGGUGGGUCAUGCCAGUAAGCCUGGGGCAUGGGGACAUGAGACCCUCGUCCUUGUCAUCCCCUAAGAACUCAAGAGAUUAGAACUCUGAGCCCAUGGCUAUCCCCAGACGUUGGCCUCAAAGCCUUUCCGUCUCUAGCCCAAAAUGAUUCAUGGGCCCAUCAAGUCUCCUGGGUUAGGGCUCUUAACUAGGGCAAAGAUUCUCAAGCACAGUAUUAUUGUCCUUUAUAGUAUUUACUCUCUAAGCUAGUGGCAACUCUGUCCUGAGCAAGCUUUUCCACAAUAGACCUUGGAGUUAGCACUGGAGAGGUGGCAGAGUCAGCAGGAGAGUGCUGAUGCCAGGAGUUUUCAUUUGCAGGAAAUGGGACCUCCCCCUGCAAUGAAGGUGAGACUUGGAAGGGACCUUCAUAGCCAUUUCUUCUCAUACUCUAAUGUGGUCCCCGCUAUUUGCAAACAAAGUUGAUAGUGGGGAAGCAUCUGAGAAAAUCUGUACCAAUGGGUAGGAUUUGAUGAAUCCCAUAGGAAUUUUAUAAAGCCAGGUCCCUCCGUUGCCUUUCCUCGUCCCCCUGGAAGCCGGCCCUCCCCUUACACCUGGAUGGGCAGGUCCCAUCUCAGCCAGGUUGGCUUCCUGGGAUGUUCAGGUUAAUGAUGCCCACAGGGCAGGAAUUUUCAUUGUGCUGCUGCCCUCUUAUUCUAUACACCUAGUGCCAGGGUUUCACCCCCUCAUACACCCUCACCCAGCUGGUCUGGAUCCUUUGCCAGGCUGAUCUCUCCAUCUUCACUGAAUUGCCAAGGCUUCUCUUAUCCCACUAUGUCCUUGGUUUCCCUCCUGGCCAGAUGCCAUUCCCUAAAGACUGGUACUCUCUUCCUGCUUCCUCUGGUUCUCUGGCUCUACGCCUGGAAAUCCAGGACAGGAAAGAGGCUUGUGGGGACUGAGCCCAGCAGUUUAGCGAGCAUCCCUGGCUACUUUCAGUCCCCUUUUUCCCCACCCCAACAUCAGCACUCAUCCCUCUCCCCAGUGCACAGCUGAGGGCACAGACUCUCAGCUAGGACCCCAUUCCCCCUUCUACCACUGCUUUGAGUGAGAUCACAAAGUCCGCCAGCCCCAAAGGAGCAGGAGUGUAUGGAGAGGAAACCACCUUCCUUGACCUGGCCACCAGCUGUUUUCUAGAGGCUCCCGGCUUAGGUCUUGCCCUUGCUCCUCUCUGUGAUGUGUAUAGCACAAGGUGUAUAUAUGUUUUGUAUCUUCUCGGACAACUGUACAUAGUGUAAGAAAGUUAUUUAAACCUCACGCUGUACAUUUUUGUUUUCAACCUAGAUGUGUUGGUUCCCAGGAGGUCUUCGUAAAUAAAGCCAAAAUGGCCAUUGUUUGUGGA